CUCUUAUCAUUUCCACCAUCUCUACUACUUUCUUUCAAUGGGGUGGGGUAGAGAAAACAUGAGCUAAUAUGAGAAAAAUAUAGGUGUAUACAAUUAAAUGCCAAACCACAUGGUUCAGCCUGGGUAUCUAGGAUAAAUUCUUGAAAAAGGUUGCUCAAUGGGAGCUGGAGUAAUUAGGGAGGCUUCAUGGAGAUGAGGCUUAAGCAGGACUUUUGGGGUGGGGGAUUAGGGUUUGGAGGGCAGAAGAGAGGAACCUCUUCUAGUGCCUUGCAAUAUAGGAAGGACUCAGUGCAAAUGUGUUGAAGGUGAAGGGGAGAAUAGUCUUAGCCUAGGCACUGCAGCACGCGAACAGACAGCCGUGCAGAGGCACAGGGCUGCUAAACGUGUUCUGCCUCCUCAGAGGCUCCAAGGGAAUUCAGCACUUAGUUACGGAUUUCACUGUUACAGUGCUUUGAGAAUUGUUUAUCAUUACAGCCUGUCACUGCUGCUAAGGAAUAAAUGUUUAAUUUCCUAAUUCAGAGGCACUAGAAAUAGUAAUAUUAGAGUCAUUCAUCUAAACAUAAAGAUGGCAGCCCUUAGUAAUAAUAGCAGGAGACACUCAGUUUGUAAUCAGCCACUGCUUUGUAACAAUAAAGAUUUCCAAACAAAAUGCUUUGAAUGUUCUGUAAUCAUGCUAAUGGCAUUAAAUAAGUCUCUGACUGGUUAAACUCCCCGUAUCUGAAUGAUUUUGACUGCUAGUAUCAGAAAAUCUAAAUAAAAUUUAUUUUUAAAAUAAGGUCAUUUAUAAUCUCCCAGAAAGGAAAUCCAGAGAUAGGGCAGUUCCAGGACUGAUUAGAUCACAGAUUCGAUGCUGUUCUUAAGGAUCCCAGCUCUUUCCACCUUUGUUCUCAUUGGUUCUCACGUUUCAGCUUGGCCUUUGAGA
rnacentral:lncRNA from 1 species